rnacentral:rRNA from 1 species
CAGCCGCCGCGGUAAUACGAGGGGGGCAAGCGUUGUUCGGAAUUAUUGGGCGUAAAGGGUGCGUAGGCGGUUUGAUAAGUCAUCUGUGAAAUCUCUGGGCUCAACCCAGAGUCUGCAGGCGAAACUGUCGGGCUUGAGUAUGGGAGAGGUGAGUGGAAUUUCCGGUGUAGCGGUGAAAUGCGUAGAUAUCGGAAGGAACACCUGUGGCGAAAGCGGCUCACUGGACCAUAACUGACGCUGAUGCACGAGAGCUAGGGGAGCAAACAGGAUUAGAUACCCGCGUAGUCCCUGUCUCUUAUAC